rnacentral:rRNA from 1 species
UACGUAGGCAGCAAGCGUUGUUCGGAAUUACUGGGCGUAAAGGGCUCGUAGGCGGCCAACUAAGUCGGACGUGAAAUCCCUCGGCUUAACCGGGGAACUGCGUCCGAUACUGGAUGGCUUGAGUUCGGGAGAGGGAUGCGGAAUUCCAGGUGUAGCGGUGAAAUGCGUAGAUAUCUGGAGGAACACCGGUGGCGAAGGCGGCAUCCUGGACCGAUACUGACGCUGAGGAGCGAAAGCCAGGGGAGCAAACGGG